rnacentral:pre_miRNA from 1 species
CUUCCUGAAACAACAUCCUGAUGCUGCCUGAGUGUCUGUAGAUAGACUCCAGCAUCAGUGAUUUUGUUGCAGGAGGUG